rnacentral:rRNA from 1 species
AUACGUAGGGGACGAGCGUUGUCCGGAAUGAUUGGGCGUAAAGGGCGCGUAGGCGGCCCGGUAAGUCUGGAGUGAAAGUCCUGCUUUUAAGGUGGGAAUUGCUUUGGAUACUGUCGGGCUUGAGUGCAGGAGAGGUAAGUGGAAUUCCCAGUGUAGCGGUGAAAUGCGUAGAGAUUGGGAGGAACACCAGUGGCGAAGGCGACUUACUGGACUGUAACUGACGCUGAGGCGCGAAAGUGUGGGGAGCAAACAGGAUUAGAUACCCUGGUAGUCCACACUGUAACCGAUGAAUGCUAGGUGUAGGGGGUAUCGACCCCUUCUGUGCCGCAGUUAACACAAUAAGCAUUCCGCCUGGGGAGUACGGCCGCAAGGUUGAAACUCAAAUGAAUUGACGGGG